rnacentral:rRNA from 1 species
AACGGACUAAUGCUGGUGCCAGAAGUCUCGGUUAGGCCAGUCGUUCGAGCAAUAAAGAUCAUGAUUGGGCGUAAAGUGUUCUUCGGCGGUGUUUUUUUUCAUAUAUGAACUUUAAACAACUCGUUUGACAGCGACUAAUAGAAUUGAAAAGUCACCGAUAAAAUGGGAAUAAUUUUUUAGGAAUAUCACUUGCGAAGGCAAUUAGUUGGGUCAAAACAGUAGCUUAGGAACGAAGGAAUGGGGAUCAAAUACCAUUAGAUACGGUAGUAGUCCAUUCAGUCAACGAUGGCUUUUAUGUCUUGGCCUUUGGCCUUGAAUAAGCAAACGCGGAAAAAGCCCGCCUCAAUAGUACGAGCGCAAGCUUAAAAUUGAAACAAUUAAUGCGUGGAGAUUCAAUAUGGUGGAACAUGCGAUUUAAUGCGUCGCUACGCGCUAACCUUACGCGGUCUUGAUUAAUUUUAAGUUUAGUCUGUAAAAUAAGACUUAGCCAGUAAUUAUAGCUUUGCAUGGUCGUGGUCAGCUCGUUUUUUGUAAAGUUGGGUUAAUUCCAUAAACGAGCGAAACGCGCAUGUUUAUAUAAACCAGUUUCAGUUAAGACUGAAAUGUACCUAUAAACCACAGCGAAAGAAAUUUUCGAGGAAGAGCGCAUCAUCACAGAUCCUCAUGAAGUUCAUGAUCGCGGCUAUACGCGUGUUACAAUUGAUAAAUCAAACAGUAGCAAUUAUGCAAAUAAGUGCAAAUCUGUAAACCUUAUCUUAACGGAUUGCAUUCUGCAACUCGAAUGCAUGAAGCAGGAAUCAUAAGUAAUCGUUUUAAAGAACUGAAACGGUGAAAUUUGUUCAUCUCCGGCUAUUAAUAGCCCGUCAAUGCCUGGUUAAUUAGUGUACAGGAAAAGUGUAGACCGUAUAUCUACAUUUGAUUGUAUAUUUGAGAGCCGGGCAUAAGUCGUAACACAGUAAUCGUACCGGAAGGUGCGGUUGGCGCCAUUUUUUU